rnacentral:rRNA from 1 species
AUUGAACGCUGGCGGCAGGCCUAACACAUGCAAGUCGAGCGAGUGGCGGACGGGUGAGUAAUUUCUGGGAAACUGCCUGAUGGAGGGGGAUAACUACUGGAAACGGUAGCUAAUACCGCAUACCAUCAGAUUUCCCCAGAUGGGAUUAGCUAGUAGGUGGGGUAAUGGCUCACCUAGGCGACGAUCCCUAUCUGGUCUGAGAGGAUGACCAGCCAAACUGGAACUGAGACACGGUCCAGACUCCUACGGGAGGCAGCAGUGGGGAAUAUUGAACAAUGGGCGAAAGCCGGAUGAAGCCAUGCCGCGUGUAUGAAGAAGGCCUUCGGGUUGUAAAGCACUUUCAGCGAGGAGGCGUUACUCGCAGAAGAAGCAACGGCUAACUCCGUGCCAGCCGCCGCGGUAAUUC